UACGGAGGGUGCAAGCGUUAUCCGGAUUCACUGGGUUUAAAGGGUGCGUAGGCGGGCAGGUAAGUCCGUGGUGAAAUCUCUGAGCUUAACUCAGAAACUGCCAUGGAUACUAUUUGUCUUGAAUAUUGUGGAGGUAAGCGGAAUAUGUCAUGUAGCGGUGAAAUGCUUAGAUAUGACAUAGAACACCAAUUGCGAAGGCAGCUUACUACACAGUUAUUGACGCUGAGGCACGAAAAGCGUGGGGAUCAAACAGG
rnacentral:rRNA from 1 species